rnacentral:rRNA from 1 species
AUUGAACGCUGGCGGCAGGCCUAACACAUGCAAGUCGAACGAGUGGCGGCAGGGUGAGUAAUGUCUGGGACACUGCCUGAUGGAGGGGGAUAAGUACUGGAAACGGUAGCUAAUAACGCCUAGCAUCAGAUGUGCCCAGAUGGGAUUAGCUAGUUGGGGGGGUAAAGGCUCACCAAGGCGACGAGCCCUAGCUGGUCUGAGAGGAUGACCAGCCACACUGGAACUGAGACACGGUCCAGACUCCUACGUGAGGCAGCAGUGGGGAAUAUUGCACAAUGGGCGAAAGCCUGAUGCAGCCAUGCCGCGUGUAUGAAGAAGGCCUUCGGAUUGUAAAGUACUUUCAGCUGGGAGGCGUUACCCGCAGAAGAAGCACCGGCUAACUCCGUGCCAGCAGCCGCGGUAAUAC